GAUGAAGAACGCAGCGAAAUGCGAUAGGUAAUGUGAAUUGCAAAAUUCAGUGAAUCAUCGAAUCUUUGAACGCACAUUGCGCCCUUUGGUAUUCCUUAGGGCAUGCCUGUUCGAGCGUCACUACACACCUUAUCACAAUAUUUGUAGUCUUGGCAGGAGUGAAUUGCUGGUCUAUGGAAGUAUUCCAGCAGUACACAAUGCUAAAAAAUAUGGGAAGGUUACCAGAUAUGAACAACAGACUUUGUAAAUGGUUGUAGGACCUAGAUCAGUCACAAGUCAUGUCUGGUCCCUUACCUUAAGGACCCCCAUCCUAGAUGAACUAUGGGUUGACCUCGGAUCAGGUAGGAAUACCCGCUGAACUUAAGCAUAUCAAUAAGCGGAGGA
rnacentral:misc_RNA from 1 species